GUGCUGCAGCUAACGCAUUAAGUAAUCCGCCUGGGGAGUACGACCGCAAGGUUGAAACUCAAAAGAAUUGACGGGGGCCCGCACAAGCGGUGGAGCAUGUGGUUUAAUUCGAAGCUACGCGAAGAACCUUACCAGGUCUUGACAUCUUCUGACAGUCUAAGAGAUUAGAGGUUCCCUUCGGGGACAGAAUGACAGGUGGUGCAUGGUUGUCGUCAGCUCGUGUCGUGAGAUGUUGGGUUAAGUCCCGCAACGAGCGCAACCCUUAUUACUAGUUGCCAGCAUUAAGUUGGGCACUCUAGUGAGACUGCCGGUGACAAACCGGAGGAAGGUGGGGACGACGUCAAAUCAUCAUGCCCCUUAUGACCUGGGCUACACACGUGCUACAAUGGAUGGUACAACGAGUCGCGAGACCGCGAGGUUAAGCUAAUCUCUUAAAACCAUUCUCAGUUCGGACUGUAGGCUGCAACUCGCCUACACGAAGUCGGAAUCGCUAGUAAUCGCGGAUCAGCAUGCCGCGGUGAAUACGUUCCCGGGCCUUGUACACACCGCCCGUCACACCAUGAGAGUUUGUAACACCCAAAGCCGGUGGGGUAACCUUUUAGGAGCUAGCCGUCUAAGGUGGGACAGAUGAUUAGGGUGAAGU
rnacentral:rRNA from 1 species